rnacentral:rRNA from 1 species
UGGGGAAUAUUGGGCAAUGGGGGCAACCCUGACCCAGCGACGCCGCGUGAGGGAAGAAGGCCUUCGGGUUGUAAACCUCUUUUGUAUGGGAAGAAGGACGUGACGGUACCGUACGAAUAAGUCCCGGCUAACUACGUGCCAGCAGCCGCGGUAAUACGUAGGGGACGAGCGUUGUCCGGAAUUACUGGGCGUAAAGGGCGCGCAGGCUGUGCUGCAAGUCAGCUGUGAAAUAUCUGGGCUUAACCCGGUUAUGCGGUUGAGACUGCAGUGCUGGAGUGCUGUAGAGGCAAGCGGAAUUCCCGAGUGUAGCGGUGAAAUGCGUAGAUAUUGGGAAGAACGACCGGUGGCGAAGGCGGCUUGGCUGGGCAGCAACGUGACGCUGAGGCGCGAAAGCCAGGG